CAAUAAUGAUUAAGUUGUUGGGCGGUGAAAGAGCUGGUUAAGAUCCUUGUGGAUUGAUCAUACUGGGCUGUGAGACUGCUAAUUUUCUGGGACCUGAGUUCAGACUUGGGUGGGUAUGAUUGUUCAAAAGCUUUGUGCUUUGUCUCAUAGUGGCGUUUGACAUUGCCACUUUUAAUCAAUGCCAUGGUUUCUGAACAUAUGAGACACACUGGUUUGCUGCUUGCGGCCGGAAGAAUGAGCAUAUAUGCGUCGGUCCAUUCAGUCUUGAAAGUUCUAUUUUUGGUGUCUACUUUUUUCUUUUUUGAAAGUACCAUAGUUGUUUUACCUCUUGUGACUCCCACUCACGUCGUGUCUCACUGUAUCGUUAAUCGUCUCGCUUGUCAUUCGCCUCUCACCGUCUCUUUCCUCUGUCUGUCUGUGUCUGCACUCAGCGUUGCAAUCGCUUUGAAUGCGCAGAUGUGAUUGGCUAAGUAGUGUCACGUGGGUGGCUUAACUUGCACACAAUUGGUUUGUAUGUUCCCUGGUCUAAUACAAUGUAACGUUACCGCUUAAAAUUGAAUCGCCCCGUCAAAAUUAAAUAUAAUUUAACAUUUUGUUAACUAUACGUCCGAGUCCAUAUAGCAUGGCGUCUGGGUUCGGACUCGGACCCUGGUCCACCUGUUAGUGACCCCUGCUAUAUAUGAUUUAGAAAUUAAUCAUUUUACUACUAUAAAAUCUCAUCAUCUAAGUAGACAAACUAUGUACUAAUGUACAUAUAUUAUUUACUAAAAUUAAUAUGUUAUAAAACUUAUUGUUUGCAAGCUGCUGAAAAUGGGAGACCAAUAACUAAUGGGUCUCUAUUCCUAUAAAGUGGACCAGAAAAAGGUUAGUUCAGUCAAAAUGAAAGUAAAAUUGCAGCUAAUGCACGUGAGAUGAAAGAAAGUGAAAGGACAACAGAGUAUAGGGAACCUUUCAAACACGCCACCUCAUUGUGUUUUCAUUCUUUACCAGCACAGCACAUCAGAUCGUCCUCCAUUCACAAAGCAGUGAUGGCAGAAGCAGCUACCAGAACAAGAGGGCGAACUUGCUUCAGAUUCAUCAAGUGCUUGUUUGUCUUUAUAAUUCUGCUCAUCUUAUCUCUUCUUUUCCUUAUUUUCAUGGCAAUCUGGGCCAAGGACCAAGUGGUUCAGCAAAUACUGAAAAGAGUAAGUGAAGACAUUAACAAACGCAAGGAAGAUGGCGUGUAUAGAAGACCAGCAAUCACAAAAAUAUUUAAUCUCGCAAGUUCACUGGAUAGCAACGAAAAACUGGAAAUAUUCAAGGAAACCAUUCAAAUAGCGAUAGAACAGGAAGAGAGACUGAAGGAAGAAUCCAGGUACAAAAUGACAACCCUCUCAAAACAAUUCAAUGAAAAAAGGAAGGAAUUAGUUCGUGAAUUGGAAGAAGCAAUGUUAUUAUCACAUGAUUCUCCACCACUCCAGGAAAUAGUUGACAUUGCAUUUCACAUGUUGAAAAAAACCGGAGCUUACAUAGACAAGAAGCUGGAUUUGCUGCAAAAAUAGAGAACUCGGAAAAGAUAAAUCACAGGAGUAAAUGAUGAGCUUCAGAAAAUUGUAAGAGAAACAAUAAAUUGAACUUGUGUUUCUGUUUUCAUUUGUUGACCUAUGUAACGUAUAUCAUGUAUUUGUGAAAGGACAUAAUCUGAAUUGUUUUUGUGACUUUCUUUAAUUGUAUACUUCUUAGCUGCGUAAGAUCUUGUCCUAUAAUGUUCCCUGAGUGAUAUUAUAAAGUGAAAAGCUUCACUCCUGGUGUGAGGCCUCAGCAAGGCAGUGUAGGCAGCACAACUUGUCAGUUUUCUGCAGUUAUUUACGUUCCAGUGUUGCAGUUGUUUAGGCUGUGUUUAACUUCCUUAUCACAUAGAGACCAGAAAAAGGCAGACCUGCAUAGUGUAUGAUCCGUUCUGUUCUGAAACUAAACCUGAGGUUUCCAAAUCUAGCUAAUGCUUCCACAUGUAUGAUCUGGUGUUGGCAGCAUGUAACCAGUCACAGACAUGAACAGGUCUACUGGCAAGUUGUGCUCCCACCUCAUGGAUUCUCUGCUGACAGUAAUAAUAUUUUGAUCAUAUUUGCUAAUGUGAUCAAAACAAAACAAAAAUGUUUUGAUCACAUUACACAAGAAUAUUGAACACAUAAACACAUAUAGUACAUUGUAUGAGUGUGUGUGUGUGUGUGUGUUUGUUGAUGUUUAAUUUACUUCUUUACUUAGAAGCGUUUUUCUGAUUAGAAAAAUACUGCUACAGUGUAUACCAUUACAUAUUAACAUAUAUUAAUUUAGGUAAUAAAAAUUCUUGGUGAUUUAUGUCAAUUAAGGAUUUGUAACUGUGCAAACUGUGACAUUUAUGGGGAAAUAAAGCGGUUGUGGCUUCUUGGUUCUUAUAAACUUGAACGGUACAGUUCUGUCAUGAAAGUCCAAUCAGUAUCAAACAAUUACAAUUUGAGAUAUAUAAUUAUAUUGUUUAUAAUGGCCUUUUUUCCAUAAAUUUAGCAUAGCAUAUGGUCAUUUUUAAUGUGGUCAUUAUCUCAUAAUUAUGACAUAAUUCAUGAAAUAUAUGAAUGAUUAAUGGGUUAAGUUAUUUAGUUCAACACGAAGGUACUGACUAAGUCUCUGGCUUUAUGUCAUUGAAAGUUUAAUGUAUGGAUGAACUGAGCAGUUGUAAUCAUUGAUUAAAGAGGGUGAAAUUUGAAUAAUACAUAAAUAUAUUUAUGAAAAUCUCAAUCUAAACAUUUGUGAAUAUUUUUUGAGUGGUGUGUAUGGUGUGCUCAAUACACACCCAUGCAGUGAGCUAAUAUUGAGUAUGAUGAUGGAGGACAAGACACUGG
ensembl:lncRNA